rnacentral:rRNA from 1 species
GACGAACGCUGGCGGCGUGCUUAACACAUGCAAGUCGAACGGAAAGGCCCUGCUUUUGUGGGGUGCUCGAGUGGCGAACGGGUGAGUAACACGUGAGUAACCUGCCCUUGACUUUGGGAUAACUUCAGGAAACUGGGGCUAAUACCGGAUAGGAGCUCCUGCUGCAUGGUGGGGGUUGGAAAGUUUCGGCGGUUGGGGAUGGACUCGCGGCUUAUCAGCUUGUUGGUGGGGUAGUGGCUUACCAAGGCUUUGACGGGUAGCCGGCCUGAGAGGGUGACCGGCCACAUUGGGACUGCGAUACGGCCCAGAGUCCUACGGGAGGCAGCAGUGGGGAAUAUUGCACAAUGGGCGGAAGCCGGAUGCAGCAACGCCGCGUGCGGGAUGACGGCCUUCGGGUUGUAAACCGCUUUCGCCUGUGACGAAGCGUGAGUGACGGUAAUGGGUAAAGAAGCACCGGCUAGCUACGUG